rnacentral:tRNA from 1 species
ACUUAUAUAGCUUAUAUAGAGUAUAACAUUGAAGAUGUUAGGGAGAUAAAAUUUGUCUUUAAGUG